rnacentral:rRNA from 1 species
UACGGAGGGUGCAAGCGUUGUUCGGAAUUAUUGGGCGUAAAGAACGUGUAGGCGGGUUUGUGUGUCAGAUGUGAAAGCCCUCGGCUCAACCGAGGAAGUGCAUCUGAAACUGCAAAUCUUGAGUACGAGAGAGGAGAGUGGAAUUCCCAGUGUAGAGGUGAAAUUCAUAGAUAUUGGGAAGAACACCGGCGGCGAAAGCGGCUCUCUGGCUCGAUACUGACGCUGAGACGUGAAAGCGUGGGGAGCAAACAGGAUUAGAUACCCUGGUAGUCCACGCCGUAAACGAUGUGCACUAGGUGUUGGGGGUAAUAAAACCUUCAGUGCCGCAGCUAACGCAUUAAGUGCACCGCCUGGGGAUUACGGUCGCAAGAUUAAA